rnacentral:rRNA from 1 species
UACGUAGGUGACAAGCGUUGUCCGGAUUUACUGGGCGUAAAGAGCGCGCAGGCGGUCGAUCAAGUCGAGUGUGAAAGCCCCCGGCUCAACUGGGGAGGGUCACGCGAUACUGCUCGACUCGAAGGCAGGAGAGGGAAGUGGAAUUCCCGGUGUAGUGGUGAAAUGCGUAGAUAUCGGGAGGAACACCAGUGGCGAAGGCGACUUCCUGGCCUGUUCUUGACGCUGAGGCGCGAAAGCUAGGGUAGCAAACGGGG